rnacentral:tRNA from 1 species
GCCUGGUGGCUCAGUGGUUGAGCGCCUGCCUUUGGCUCAGGAUAUGAUCCCGGAUUCCUGGGUUCGAGUCCCACAUCGGGCU